GACAAAGUUCUCUACUGGCGUUCAUCUUUGGCGUUAGACUUGCUCACGGCUUCCUGGCUUCCGCAAUCACCUCUGGGUCAUGUAAACCCCGUUCAAUGAAAAAACGUCACUGAUCAUCCCAACUUUCACAAACCAAAUAAAUCGUCUUCGCGGUGGUGAAAUUGUUCUCUACAUUGUUCACAGUUUAUAGAUGAAAUUACUACUUGUUCUGCAGUAGAACCAGAAAGGAAUCAACUUACGAUCGACAACAUCUAGGUGACCCUGCUGCUUUUUCCUGGUGCUAUGAUAGCAAAAAAGGUGUUUUAAGCAGUCAGCACCCAGGCAAGUCCGAGGAAUUGCAGACGCCGAGUUUUUAAAGGCACUAUAAGAAAUGAAAAAAAGAGAAUUGCGGGUUUAUUACUAAGGUUCGUCCAAGGUUCGUUUGUAAAAUAUAAAGAACUUCCACAUGUCUACCAUUUAGUCGAGGAAAUAAAUGAAUAUGACGAGAAA